UUGGUCGAUGCCUCACUCAGUCGGUUGUUAUGAGAAAAUUUUUGUCAUCACAACCUCCAUGAGUGAGUCAUUGCGACA
rnacentral:pre_miRNA from 1 species